ensembl:lncRNA
AAAUAAAGCAGCUGUAAGAAGCAAAGAGUUAAAAGUAAAAAGAUUCAAACCACUCUGCAGUGUUGGUGUUUCAUUCCGUCGCCAGCACCUCCCGCUGCCCUGCAUCAGGAUCAGGCAUGUUAUUCUGACUCUUCCUUGAUCAGUGUGGCCCCCAGAAACCAGUCUCAAGCCCGCAGCUCCAGCCUACACAAGUGCCUGACUGCUCAAUGUGACUUUGCCCCAUCUACUCCCAGGGGACUCUGAACUGGGCCACCCAGAGUGUGGUCCAGAGACAAAGUCGGCACCUUCCGCUGGGAGCCGGCUAAGAUGCACCUUCUCUGGGCCUGCCCAGACCUCCAGGGUCAGGAUCCCAGGGAUGGGCAAGGCCCAGGGUCCAGGGCGACCACAGGCCUCCAUGGGUGCUGGGCCCCUCUGAAGUUCUCAAGUAGCUGUGGAUGGAGCCUAAAUGUCUGUUGUGGGAGCACAGGGCCAAAGUCUUGUCUGGAAAGAGUGCGCUGUGUCAUGGUCCCAGGGCUACUUUGUGCCCCAGCUGGAGUCAGUGAGGAUCUCUUCUGUGAAACGGCCCCUCCCUGCUCACAGGGAGUUGUGCGCCACUGAGCUAAGGUCUGGCUUCCCUGGUGUCUCAGCUACUAAAGAAUCCACCUGCAGAGAUUCAAGGGAUUAGAUCUAACAGAUAGCAUGCCUGAAGAGCUAUGGACAGAGGUUCAUAGCAUUGUACAGGAGGCAGCGAUCAAAACUAUCUCCAAGAAGAAAUGCAAAAAGGCAAAAUGGUUGUCUGAGAAGGCCUUACAAAUAGCUGAGAAAAGAAGAGAAGUGAAAGGCAAAGGAGAAAAGGAAAGAUAUGCCCAUCUGAAUGCAGAGUUCCAAAGAAUAGCAAAGAGAGAUAAGAAAGCCUUCUAAGAGAUCAGUGCAAAGAAACAGAGGAAAACAUCAGAAUGGGAAAGACUAGAGAGUUCUUCAAGAAAAUUAGAGACACCAAGGGAAAAUUAGAGACACCAAGGGAAAAUCUUUAUUGUGCAAAGAUGGGCACAAUAAAGGGCAGAAAUGUUAUGGACCUAACAGAAGCAGAAGAUACUAAGAAGAGGUGGCAACAAUACACAGAACUAUACAAAAAAGAUAUUCAUGGCCCAGAAAACCACGAUGGUGUGAUCACUCACCUAAAGCCAGACAUCCUGGAAUGAGAAGUCCAGUGGGCUUUAGGAAGCAUCACUACGAACAAAGCUUGGAGAUAAUGCAAUUCCAGUUGAGCUAUUUCAAGUCCUAAGAGGUGAUGCUGUUAAAGUGCUGCAUUCAAUAUGCCAGCAAAUUUGGAGAACUCAGCAGAGGCCACAGGACUGGAAAAGGUCAGUUUUUACUCUAAUCUCAAAGAAAUGCUAUGCCAAAGAAUGCUUAAACUACCACACAAUUGCACUCAUCUCACACACUAGCAAAGUAAUGCUCAAAAUUCUCCAAGCUAGGCUUCAACAGCAGGUGAAAUGAGAACUUCCAGAUGUUCAAGCUGGUUUUAGAAAAGGCAGAGGAACCAGAGAUCAAAUUGCCAACAUCCAUUGGAUCAUAGAAAAGGCAAGAAAGUUCCAGGAAAACAUCUACUUCUGCCUCACUGACUACGCCAAAGCCUUGGACUGUGUGGGUCACAACAAACUGUGGAAAAUUCUUCAAGAGAUGGGAAUACCAGACCACCUUACCUGUCUCCUAAGAAAUCUUAUAGGCAGGUCAAGAAACAACAGUUAGACUGGAUAUGGAACAAUGGACUAGUUCCAAAUUGGGAAAGAAGUAUGUCAAGGCUGUAUAUUGUCACCCUUCUUAUUUAACUUCUAUUCAGAGUAUAUCAUUCGCUGGAUGAAGCACAAACUGGAAUCAAGAUUGCCAUGAGAAAUAUCAUUAACCUCAGAUAUGCAGAUGACACCACUCUUAUGGCAGAAAGUGAAGAACUACAGAGCCUCUUGAUGAAAGUGAGAGGAGAGUGAAAAAGAUGACUUAAAACUCAACAUUCAAAAAAUGAAGAUCAUGGCAUCUGGUCCCAUCACUCCAUGGCAAAUAGAUGGGGAAACAGUGGAAACAGUGACAGACUUUAUUUUAGGAGCUCCAAAAUCACUGCAGCCAUGAAAUUAAAAGAUGCUUACUCCUUAGAAGAAAAGCUGUGACCAACCUAGACACCAUAUUAAAAAGCAGAGACAUUACUUUGCCAAGAAAGGUCCAUCUAGUCAAAGCUAUGUUUUUCCAGUAGUCAUGUAUGGAUGUGAGAGUUGGACUAAAAAGAAAGCUGAGCACCAAAGAAUUGACGCUUUUGAACUGAGGAGUGGGAGAGGACUCUUGAGAGUCUCUUGGACUGCAAGGAGAUCCAACCAGUCCAUCCUAAAGGAAAUCAGUCCUGAAUAUGUGUCGGAAGGACUGAUGCUGAAGCUGAUACCCCAAUACUUUGGCUACCUGAUGCAAAGAACUGCCUCAUUGGAAAAAAAUCCUGAUGCUGGGAAAGAUUGAAGGUAGGAGGAGAAGGGGAAGACAGAGGAUGAGAUGGUUGGAUGGCAUCAUCGACUCGAUGGACCUGAAUUUGAGUUCGCUCCCAGAGUUGGUGAUGGACAGGGAGGCCUGGCAUACUGCAGUCCAUGGGGUUGCAAACAGUCAGUCGAUAGGACUGAACUAAACUGAGCUGUGACCGUGAGGCCCCCAGAGGGCGCCAGCGUCCCCUGAGGACACAGCUCAGCUCCUGAGCACAUGGGCUUCCCUGCUCUCUGCUUCCCCUUCACCCCUCCCCCUCCUCUGGGGACAGCCCCCAACAAAGGGGACAGUGACAAAGGGGACAGCGAGGGCCCGCUGAGUGUCGUGGCCACCCCACCUAGGACACCUCUGACGGAGGGUGUCUCCAUCAGCCGGCCAGGCGCCAGGCUGAGAACCCAGGAGCUGAGGGGUCCUGUCAAGGGAGACUCAGGGAUUCUGCGGGAAGCUCCUGGGUCCAGGACCUGCAAACCCUGCCCCCACCCCACCCCAGCACCCGCCCAGGGGCCUGGGAGCCUGUGUUCCAGAACCAGAGGGCGCUGGGGGCCACGGGGUUGGGGGCACAUCUGCACCUGAAAGACCCCAGCCCUCUGCUGCUUUCACGGUGGGAAGACACUUCACCUCCAGGCAGGCCGCCUGCCGUCACCCACAGCCUGACUCCGGGCCACUCAUCCUCUUUGGUUCCGUCCCUCCUUGUGUCUCCGACCCUC